CCCCACAAUGUGGUGUAUUUGAGAGACAGCUGGUGUCUUGUUGAGAGCUCUGAUUCUGCAGCAUCUACCACUUACACAAGCAUAAGGAGCAGUGGGCUCAGGAAACAAAGAUUUCCAU
rnacentral:lncRNA from 1 species